CAACCUGCCGCUUACUCGGGGAUAGCCUUUCGAAAGAAAGAUUAAUACCCGAUGGUAUAAAGAGUUCGCAUGUUCUCUUUAUUAAAGAAUUUCGGUAAGCGAUGGGGAUGCGUUCCAUUAGAUUGUUGGCGGGGUAACGGCCCACCAAGUCUACGAUGGAUAGGGGUUCUGAGAGGAAGGUCCCCCACAUUGGAACUGAGACACGGUCCAAACUCCUACGGGAGGCAGCAGUGAGGAAUAUUGGUCAAUGGACGAGAGUCUGAACCAGCCAAGUAGCGUGAAGGAUGACUGCCCUAUGGGUUGUAAACUUCUUUUAUAAGGGAAUAAAGUGAGGGACGUGUCCCUUUUUGUAUGUACCUUAUGAAUAAGGAUCGGCUAACUCCGUGCCAGCAGCCGCGGUAAUACGGAGGAUCCAAGCGUUAUCCGGAUUUAUUGGGUUUAAAGGGAGCGUAGGUUGACAUAUAAGUCAGCUGUGAAAGUUUACGACUCAACCGUGAAAUUGCAGUUGAUACUGUAUGUCUUGAGUGUACAAGAGGUGGGCGGAAUUCGUGGUGUAGCGGUGAAAUGCUUAGAUAUCACGAAGAACUCCGAUUG
rnacentral:rRNA from 1 species